AGGCGGGUAAAAGCAACGAGUCCGGUUCAAGUAGGGGAGGGCGCGUCCACGCCUCCUCCUUCCGAGCUGCGGCCUUUGGUAGUGCUGCAGUCCACGUGGCUUUGCCGGCGCCCUUCCAGAGCCGAAUGCUAAGCAGCGUCAUGCCCAAGAAAGGAGGAAGACGAGCUAGAAUAGAGAAGGGACCAGAUUUGCCAAGCAAGCAAGCAAAAACAGAAGCAGUUGGUCCUUUGCUUUGGAAAUAUGACAGUCCAGAGAGCUUAUUUGAGAGUUUGAUUGCUCCUAUCAAAGAGGAUGAAUUUUUUAGAGAAUAUUGGGAACAGAAGCCACUGUUGCUUCAGAGAGAUGACUCCUCUGUGGCCUCAUAUUAUCAGUCUCUCUUUCAGUUAACUGACUUGAAAGACCUAGUCAAACUAGGUUUGUACUAUGGAAAAGACAUCAAUAUAUGUAGAUGUAUGAAUGGCAAAAAACUUAUUUUUAAUAAAGAUGGAAAAGUAACUUAUGCACAACUGAAGAAACAUUUUGAUCAGAAAAAGGCUACAAUACAAUUUCACCAGCCACAGAGAUUUAAGGAUUUGCUCUGGAGGAUACAAGAAAAACUGGAAUGUUACUUUGGCUCAUUGGUUGGAUCUAACGUUUACAUUACUCCUCCUGGAUCUCAAGGCCUACCUCCACACUAUGAUGAUGUUGAGGUGUUUAUCUUACAACUUGAAGGAGAGAAACACUGGCGACUCUACCGUCCAACUGUACCUCUAGCUCAAGAAUACAAUGCUGAACCUGAAGAGAGAAUUGGAACUCCAACUCAUGAUUUUAUAUUAAAGCCAGGAGAUAUAUUAUAUUUUCCAAGAGGAACAAUUCAUCAAGCUGACACUCCUCUUGGGAUAUCUCAUUCUACUCAUAUUACCAUUAGCACGUAUCAGAACAACUCUUGGAGAGAUUACUUACUGGACAUGGUUCCUGGACUUCUUUUAGAUAUAGCAAAAGAAGAUGCUGAAUUUCGAAAGAACAUUCCAAGGCAAUUGUUAAUGAAUCUGGAUUUAUCUGAUUCAUCUAAGCAGUUAAGUAGCUUCCUGAAACGCCUUGAAGGCCAUUUGAAUAAUGGGAGGAAACUGAGAUCAUCCUGUAUGAAAAAAGAUUUUAUUACGAGCAGAUUACCUCCGUUUAUUGCAACUGAUUUUGAUUUUCUCACUCCAGAUGGAACUCUACCAAAAGUAGAUAGCACCAUCAGGCUAAGGUUUAAAGACUACACAAUAAUUACAACAGAAUUAGAACAAGAUCUUCUGAACGAUUCAGUCAGAGAAAUGGUUUUUGUUUAUCACUGCUUAAAGAAUAAAAGGGAAAUCCAUAUGAUGGGGGAUGAGAAUAUGAAUGAAGAAGAAAUAGCAGAGAAGGCACAUGGAUUACGAUUUCCUCUUUCUCACAUGGAUGCACUGAAACAAAUAUGGAGCUGUGAUACUGUUUGCGUUAAGGAUCUUAAUCUCGAUUCAGAAGCAGAAAAAGAGAACUUAGUGAUAUCAUUGUGGACUGAAUGCCUUGUUGAAGUAAUCUAAAGGCAGGUUCUCAUCACAGUUAUGAAAUCUUAUAUAUUUUGGAUUUGUGUAGAGGAGUCUACUAAAUUACAUUAAGUGCCUUGGAAAAUUGUGUGUACCCUUAUCCUGACUGAUACCUUCCAACAGAGAUAUUUCCCUGUAAGCUCUUUGCAGACCAUAAAUUUUGAUGUAAGAGGCAACUGAGUGAAUUACAAAAAAUCCUGCUAGAACAGCUGAACUUUAUAUGAGUUUGAUCAGACUUCAAUUGAUAGCAGAAUUAUUUCUCUGGGCUGCUAUUUCCUACUUGUGUAACAGAUUUUGCAGAUCUGUUAUGCAAACAUCAGACAACCCAAGAAAAUUGUCUCGGACUCUACUGCAAUCUAGAUUUUUGAAUCUCAGGUUGGGUACCUUUAUAUGGAAACAAUUUCUGCUUUGUGAGACAUAAUAUAAAAACAACUUCAAAACGGAACAGGUAUGCCAUACAUAAGAUCAUAAGAAAGAAUAAUUCAGAAAUCCUUCAUCUAUUGUAGAGAGACAAGUAAAUGGCUUUGAGGGACAGGGGAAAGAGGUGCUACCAAGACAGUGGUGAAAUAAAAAAGGACUGAGUGUGAGGUAAGAAAGUAACAUGAGUAAAUAUCUCAGACAAGACCCUCUCUAGUUCUCAAGAAAAUAGUGACAGGGGGAUGAAAAGCACAUUCAGAUUUGUAAGAUUCUAUUAUUAAAGCUUUAGAAUAAAAAUAGCACUGACCUACAUUACAUUGGAUUCCUAGUCUAAUCUACCUUGAAGGGUUAAUAUCCACAUUAUUCCUUUCUUCUUGAAUGGGCAUGAAUCUGAGGCAACUUUAAUGGUUGUAUAAUUUUCCCUAGCAGCAUCCACCACCUUAUUAUUUAUCUACACUUUAUUUAUCUAUACUUUAUUUAUCUAUACUUUAAAAAGAGUUUUUAAAAAUAUGACACUCACCCCUUGCUAUUCAUGUUGGAAAAAUUAAAGCAUUUGAAUCAAGGGAACUAAUAUUUUAAUCUUGAACACUACCACAGCAGUGCACUCUAAAAAGAUAUCUAGGAGGGAGAUGAAUUAAAUUUUGCUUGGAACUACUUCUCUUUGUGCUGGAUGAUAAAAUGAAACUAAAAAGUGAACCAUGACAGCUCAACGCUGGGAACAUUACAAAGUUAGAAGAGGCAAAAUAGCUUACAUCUUAUGGCACAAGAUUUGGGAUAACUAAUAACAAUAAAAACAUAAUGAUAAAUAUCAUACAAGAAACAAGAAUAACAAUGCCCAAUCCAACAACUACACUCAUCCAGCUAUACAAUCCCCCAGGCCCAAAUCUUACUUUACCAGUGCUUUGAGGAAAACUCAGCUCUUGACGGCCCUCUGGAAUGUUAAGACAGCGGAGGCCUGUCGGAUCUCAAAGGAAAUGGUUUUUCACAGGGCAGGGGCUGCUACAGAAAAGGUAUAUCACCCUGUCUAAGCCCAGAGAGAGAAGGGACAUGGAGUGUGCCCAUUCUGCCCAAUGUAGAAAAUGAGCAAAUGCCCUCACGGAAAGGCAGUCCUGGAGAUAACUUCACCUACUUCCUUAGAACUUGCUAUAGUGUUGAGUGAAAACAGGAAACAUCUGAUUAAGUUCCUGUAAGAAUGCUUUUAUUUGACACCUAAAAGUACCAAAAAGCUGCACAGAGCAAAAACAGUUCUUAGUUUAAUCCUUUCCUUAUAUCUCUAUGCAAUGGUACAUAAUGUCUGAAAAAUACCUAGCAUGGAUGUAUAGUGCACUUCUCAGUCCAGUGCUUUGCUACUGCUUGCCCUGCCUGACACUGCAGAGAAGCCCAAUAGGACAGGAUAGGGCAAUAGGAAGCAAGAUUCAAUCAUAAAUUUAAAAUAUCUAAAAGGAAUUUUAUUACUUCUUAUGGCUCAUGAUAUGUUCCACAGGUACCUUAAAAAUGAAGAAAUUCCUUUUCAAAAGAACAUAGAGACUGUAAGAGAAUGCAAAAGGAAAGAAAUAAGUUUUGGAUCAAAUCUAUCUUCCCUAAAACCUACAAUAGUAUCUACCUCUUAAGAGAGUAAUUUUGGAAGAUGGAAAUUAUUAUAAAGUCUCCUGAUAGAAUGUUAGAAGAAUAAAAUUUAAGUAAAUUAAAUUUUAUUGAGCUAAAUGCUUCAUAACAUUUUAAAUGAUUCUUGAUUACUAAUUACCCUCACUUUAAAACGGGGAAUUACCCCAAAUUUAUAUAGCUAUACUGUCUAGUUUAGCUUAAUUUAUGAAUCUGUCCAUAUUGCUCCAGUGGUUAUCAUUUCUUUUAUAGUAAGUAAACUAUCCAUAUAAGAAAUAGGUAGUUCCUUUAUAAUUUUACUACAACUAUGUGACUCUAUAUAUGGAUAGUAUUUCAAUAUAACAUCUCUGUCAAGUUGUGUAAAUCCUUUACUGGACUGCUUUUCUUUUAAUAAAAAGUUUCUUUAUAUGGAUAAAUGUGGCUUCUUACUAAUAUUUGUUAGAGGUGUAUGGCUCAACUCUUGUAAAAUUAAAAAUAUAUAAAUCAGAACCACAAUUGCUUGGUUAUAUUCUUUUGAGGGCACCACAUUUUGGACUGUACAAGGCUUUUCUGAAUAUUGCUAGCUGG